rnacentral:rRNA from 1 species
UACAGAGGUCUCAAGCGUUGUUCGGAUUCAUCGGGCGUAAAGGGUGCGUAGGCGGCGCGGUAAGUCGGGUGUGAAAUUUCGGAGCUUAACUCCGAAACUGCAUUCGAUACUGCCGUGCUUGAGGACUGGAGAGGAGACUGGAAUUUACGGUGUAGCGGUGAAAUGCGUAGAUAUCGUAAGGAAGACCAGUGGCGAAGGCGGGUCUCUGGACAGUUCCUGACGCUGAGGCACGAAGGCCAGGGGAGCAAACGGG